GUGGGGAAUAUUGGACAAUGGGCGAAAGCCUGAUCCAGCCAUGCCGCGUGUGUGAAGAAGGUCUUCGGAUUGUAAAGCACUUUAAGUUGGGAGGAAGGGCAGUAAGUUAAUACCUUGCUGUUUUGACGUUACCGACAGAAUAAGCACCGGCUAACUUCGUGCCAGCAGCCGCGGUAAUACGAAGGGUGCAAGCGUUAAUCGGAAUUACUGGGCGUAAAGCGCGCGUAGGUGGUUUUGUAAGUUGGAGGUGAAAUCCCCGGGCUCAACCUGGGAACUGCCUCCAAAACUGCAUGACUAGAGUACGGUAGAGGGUAGUGGAAUUUCCUGUGUAGCGGUGAAAUGCGUAGAUAUAGGAAGGAACACCAGUGGCGAAGGCGACUACCUGGACUGAUACUGACACUGAGGUGCGAAAGCGUGGGGAGCAAACAGGAUUAGAUACUCCGGUAGUCC
rnacentral:rRNA from 1 species